rnacentral:rRNA from 1 species
UACGUAGGGGGCAAGCGUUGUCCGGAUUUAUUGGGCGUAAAGAGCGUGUAGGCGGCCAGGGAGGUCCGUUGUGAAAACUCGAGGCUCAACCUCGAGACGCCGAUGGAAACCCCCUGGCUAGAGUCCGGAAGAGGAGAGUGGAAUUCCUGGUGUAGCGGUGAAAUGCGCAGAUAUCAGGAGGAACACCGGUGGCGAAGGCGGCAUCCUGGACCGGUAUUGACGCUGAGGCGCGAAAGCCAGGGGAGCAAACGGG